rnacentral:tRNA from 1 species
AAAAAGAUAAGCUAAUUAAGCUAAUGGGUUCAUACCCCUUUUAUAAAGGUACUAAUCCUUUUCUUUUUA